rnacentral:rRNA from 1 species
UACGGAGGGUGCAAGCGUUAUCCGGAAUUAUUGGGCGUAAAGGGUGCGUAGGCGGUUUGGUAAGUCUUAUGUGAAAUCUACAGGCUCAACUUGUAGUCUGCAUGAGAAACUGCCGGGCUUGAGUAUGGGAGAGGUGAGUGGAAUUCCUGGUGUAGCGGUGAAAUGCGUAGAUAUCAGGAGGAACACCUGUGGCGAAAGCGGCUCACUGGACCAUAACUGACGCUGAUGCACGAAAGCUAGGGGAGCAAACAGG